rnacentral:rRNA from 1 species
AUUGAACGCUGGCGGCAUGCCUUACACAUGCAAGUCGAACGGCAGCACGGGGCAACCUGGUGGCGAGUGGCGAACGGGUGAGUAAUGCAUCGGAACGUACCUUUCAGUGGGGGAUAACGUAGCGAAAGUUACGCUAAUACCGCAUAUUCUGUGAGCAGGUAAGCAGGGGAUCGCAAGACCUUGCGCUGAUUUCGCGGCCGAUGUCAGAUUAGCUAGUUGGUGAGGUAAAGGCUCACCAAGGCGACGAUCUGUAGCGGGUCUGAGAGGAAGAUCCGCCACACUGGAACUGAGACACGGUCCAGACUCCUACGGGAGGCAGCAGUGGGGAAUUUUGGACAAUGGGGGCAACCCUGAUCCAGCCAUGCCGCGUGAGUGAAGAAGGCCUUCGGGUUGUAAAGCUCUUUCGGCCGGGAAGAAAUCGCACGGGCUAAUACCCUGUGUGGAUGACGGUACCGGAAUAAGAAGCACCGGCUAACUACGUGCCAGCCGCCGCGGUAAAAC